GGACUUCUAUGAUCCAAAUCAUCUGAAGAGUUGGUCCCUUAGAUAGUGUCACCUCAAUAUUUAUUGAAUUAGGAAUUAAAACAUCUUAAUAUUAUUAUAAAAAUUUUUGACCUUGGGAGCUACUCUCUGAAACUGUCUUAGGGACUCCCAGGAGUUCCAGUCCUCUCCAAACUGAGAACCACCUACUUUAGUUUACUCUUCCCCCCUUCCCUGAGACAGAUGGAGAGAGUGGAUAGAGUGCAGGGCCUAGAGUCAGGAAGACAUUACUUUGUCCAAAAACAGCUUCACACCAUGCAAGCCAUUUAACCUCUGUCUACAUCAGCUUCCUCAGCUAUGAAGAAAGGAUAAUAGUAGCCUGUGCUUUCCAAAAUCUUGUGAGAAACAAAUGAGAUGAUAUUUGUAAACACUUAGUAUAUUGCCUGGCUUAUUCCCUUCUUUCUUUCCCAUUGUAGGGAUUUCUUUGCACAGUAUCUCUGAUAGGAGCUAUCACUUGGUCUUAAAACAACUGUGCUGUUUGGGGGUGGUGAUGGUGGGGAGGGUGAGAGAAGCAGAAUCUCCUCAAUUCAUUCUUCUCCAAGCCAGAAAGAUCAGGAGUUUCCGGAACUUCCAAGGUGGGAUUAUAAGGUAUUUUUAUCUCCUCUAUGAGCUCAAAAUUUUGGCUGCCUAGCAACAAGCAAGGAGCAAAAGGCACAUUGGAGAUUUUCAAGACAGCCUUCCCAUCCUUAAAGGUGGCAGUGGUGAUAAUGAUGGCAGCAGCGGCAGCAGCCCCAGAGUGACAGGAAUGACAAUGCCCAGGGAAAAUUCAGAGAAGUCAAUCCAUUUGCCUAAUGUCAUGCAGUGCUAGAUAGACAUGAACCCACCCUAGGAGAGUUCUGGAGGAGACAGAAGAUGGGGACCAGGGUCCAAGAUGGGCAAUGCAUACAAUCACUGAUCUAGAACUGGCAAGACACUGAGAAUGAUUAUGCUCAAGGACCAUUUAGGAGAUGUUCAGCAGUCAGAUGGUAAAUCAGACAGGAAGACAAGUGAGAGACAAAAUCUGCAUGGUACAAAUUUGGAAGUGAUCACAGAAAUGAUUCCUGAACCUGAGAAAGACGAUUGGGAAGGAUGCUGGAUUUGGUGACACAGGAUCUGAGUCUGAAAUUCUGCUGUUUUAAAUUCAGCACUGAAGGGAUGCCCAUCAAUUAGAGAAUGGCUGAGUAAGGAGAAUAAUUUGUACAAUAACAAUAUUGCAAAGAUAAACAAUUCUGAAAGUCUUAAAAACUCCAAUCAAUACAAUGACCAAUCAUAAUUCCAAAGAACUCGU